rnacentral:rRNA from 1 species
GACGAACGCUGGCGGCGUGCCUAAUACAUGCAAGUCGAACGAGAGCGACCGGUGCUUGCACUGGUCAAUCUAGUGGCGAACGGGUGAGUAACACGUGGGUAACCUGCCCAUCAGAGGGGGAUAACAUCCGGAAACGGAUGCUAAAACCGCAUAGGUCUUCGAACCGCAUGGUUUGAAGAGGAAAAGAGGCGCAAGCUUCUGCUGAUGGAUGGACCCGCGAUGCAUUAGCUAGUUGGUGAGGUAACGGCUCACCAAGGCCGUGAUGCAUAGCCGACCUGAGAGGGUGAUCGGCCACAGUGGCACUGAGACACGGCCCAGACUCCUACGGGAGGCAGCAGCAGGGAAUCUUCCGCAAUGGACGCAAGUCUGACGGAGCAACGCCGCGUGAGUGAAGAAGGUUUUCGGAUCGUAAAACUCUGUUGUUAGGGAAGAACAAGUGCUAGAGUAACUGUUAGCGCCUUGACGGUAUCUAACCAGAAAGCCACGGCUAACUACGUG